rnacentral:rRNA from 1 species
AUUGAACGCUGGCGGCAGGCCUAACACAUGCAAGUCGAGCGAGCGGCGGAAGGGUGAGUAAUGUCUGGGAAACUGCCUGAUGGAGGGGGAUAACUACUGGAACCGGUAGCUAAUACCGCAUACCAUCAGCUGUGCCAAGGUGGGAUUAGCUAGUAGGUGGUGUAACGGCUUACCUAGGCGACGAUCUCUAGCGGGUCUGCGAUGGUGACCGGACACACUGGAACUGUGACACGGUCCAGACUCCUACGGGAGGCAGCAUGGGGGAAUGUUGGACAAUGGGCGCAGGCCUGAUGCAGCCACGCCGCUUGUUUGAAGAAGGCCUUCGGGUUGUAAAGCACUGUCAGCGGGGCGGCGUUACCCGCAGAAGAAGCACCUGCUAACUCCGUGCCAGCAGCCGCGGUAAUUC